UCGAUGUGGCUUGUGGCACUGGCAGCACAUACAGUAAGUCCCUUCAGUUUACCCUGGAUGGUGCGGGGCUGCAUAUAAUAAAUACAAGUUACAGCACAGCAGAAGAGCAAGCUGUGGCAGAUGAGUGACAAUGCGUGAAAGAGGCAGAACUCUGGGAGGCAACGGAGUCAGCUGCCGCCGGGCUCCUGCUUUGAAGGGGGGCACCUCUCCUCCUGUUCCGUGUGUUCAGCAACAUUAAUCAAUUAAGUUAAUUGACAGCAGCCGAUAUUGAGAAAAAUGAGAAAGGUGCUACAAGACCCAAAGCACCCACCACCACAUCCUCUGUUUACAUCAUGGCAUCCCCUGUCAUAACUAUCACUCGCACCUCCAUCACUCCAACCACUCCAACCAUCACCACCUCCUUCCCAGACCUGCUGCCAGGACCACCACCUUGGAUGGCAACAGCUGUCCUGAAGACUGCAGUAUAAGAAGCCCAGUGAGAUUGUCAUCAUUUAUCUCUACGCAUUCCAUCAGUCUUACAUACCAACCUGCUUCCUGCAGUCUGCCGUUUCAGCAUCAGCAUGCCCAGGGCCUGUUCUAGACCAAGCGGACUACACUUUCCAUCUGUGUUCCAUACCAACCUGCUUCCUGCAGUCUGCCGUUCCAGCAUCAGCAUGCCCAGGGCCUGUUCUAGACCAAGCGGACUACACUUUCCAUCUGUGUUCCAUACCAACCUGCUUCCUGCAGUCUGCCGUUCCAGUGUCAGCAUGCCCAGGGCCUGUUCUAGACCAAGCGGACUACACUUUCCAUCUGUGUUCCAUACCAACCUGCUUCCUGCAGUCUGCCGUUCCAGUGUCAGCAUGCCCAGGGUCUGCUCUAGACCAAGCAGAGCGAAGGAGCUAAUAUUUCCUUUGACGCUCCCUCA